AAUUUUGGACAAUGGGGGAAACCCUGAUUCAGCCAUCCCGCGUGUAUGAUGAAGGNCUNNGGGUUNUNAAGUACUUUUGGCAGNNNNNAAAAGGCACCCCCUAAUACGGGAUGCUGCUGACGGUAUCUGCAGAAUAAGCACCGGCUACCUACGUGCCAGCAGCCGCGGUAAUACGUAGGGUGCAAGCUUUAAUCGGAAUUACUGGGCGUAAAGCAUGUGUAGGCGGUUCGGAAGGAAAGAUGUGAAAUCCCAGGGCUCAACCUUGGAACUGCAUUUUUAACUGCCGAGCUAGAGUAUGUCAGAGGUGGGUAGAAUUCCACGUGUAGCAGUGAAAUGCGUAGAUAUGUGGAGGAAUACCGAUGGCGAAGGCGGCCCCCUGGGAUAAUACUGACGCUCAGACACGAAAGCGUGGGGAGCAAACAGG
rnacentral:rRNA from 1 species